rnacentral:rRNA from 2 species
UUAAGCGACUAAGCGUACACGGUGGAUGCCCUGGCAGUCAGAGGCGAUGAAGGACGUGCUAAUCUGCGAAAAGCGUCGGUAAGGUGAUAUGAACCGUUAUAACCGGCGAUGUCCGAAUGGGGAAACCCAGUGUGAUUCGUCACACUAUCGUUAACUGAAUACAUAGGUUAACGAGGCGAACCGGGGGAACUGAAACAUCUAAGUACCCCGAGGAAAAGAAAUCAACCGAGAUUCCCCCAGUAGCGGCGAGCGAACGGGGAGCAGCCCAGAGUCUGAAUCAGCUUGUGUGUUAGUGGAACGGUCUGGAAAGUCCGACGGUACAGGGUGAUAGUCCCGUACACCAAAAUGCACAGGUUGUGAACUCGAAGAGUAGGGCGGGACACGUGGUAUCCUGUCUGAAUAUGGGGGGACCAUCCUCCAAGGCUAAAUACUCCUGACUGACCGAUAGUGAACCAGUACCGUGAGGGAAAGGCGAAAAGAACCCCGGCGAGGGGAGUGAAAAAGAACCUGAAACCGUGUACGUACAAGCAGUGGGAGCACCUUCGGGUGUGACUGCGUACCUUUUGUAUAAUGGGUCAGCGACUUAUAUUCUGUAGCAAGGUUAACCGUAUAGGGGAGCCGCAGGGAAACCGAGUCUUAACUGGGCGUUAAGUUGCAGGGUAUAGACCCGAAACCCGGUGAUCUAGCCAUGGGCAGGUUGAAGGUUGGGUAACACUAACUGGAGGACCGAACCGACUAAUGUUGAAAAAUUAGCGGAUGACUUGUGGCUGGGGGUGAAAGGCCAAUCAAACCGGGAGAUAGCUGGUUCUCCCCGAAAGCUAUUUAGGUAGCGCCUCGUGAAUUCAUCUUCGGGGGUAGAGCACUGUUUCGGCUAGGGGGUCAUCCCGACUUACCAACCCGAUGCAAACUACGAAUACCGAAGAAUGUUAUCACGGGAGACACACGGCGGGUGCUAACGUCCGUCGUGAAGAGGGAAACAACCCAGACCGCCAGCUAAGGUCCCAAAGUCAUGGUUAAGUGGGAAACGAUGUGGGAAGGCACAGACAGCCAGGAUGUUGGCUUAGAAGCAGCCAUCAUUUAAAGAAAGCGUAAUAGCUCACUGGUCGAGUCGGCCUGCGCGGAAGAUGUAACGGGGCUAAACCAUGCACCGAAGCUGCGGCAGCGACACUAUGUGUUGUUGGGUAGGGGAGCGUUCUGUAAGCCUGCGAAGGUGACCUGUGAGGGUUGCUGGAGGUAUCAGAAGUGCGAAUGCUGACAUAAGUAACGAUAAAGCGGGUGAAAAGCCCGCUCGCCGGAAGACCAAGGGUUCCUGUCCAACGUUAAUCGGGGCAGGGUGAGUCGACCCCUAAGGCGAGGCCGAAAGGCGUAGUCGAUGGGAAACAGGUUAAUAUUCCUGUACUUGGUGUUACUGCGAAGGGGGGACGGAGAAGGCUAUGUUAGCCGGGCGACGGUUGUCCCGGUUUAAGCAUGUAGGCUGGUUAUCCAGGCAAAUCCGGAUAAUCAAGGCUGAGGUGUGAUGACGAGGCACUACGGUGCUGAAGUAACAAAUGCCCUGCUUCCAGGAAAAGCCUCUAAGCAUCAGGUAACAUCAAAUCGUACCCCAAACCGACACAGGUGGUCAGGUAGAGAAUACCAAGGCGCUUGAGAGAACUCGGGUGAAGGAACUAGGCAAAAUGGUGCCGUAACUUCGGGAGAAGGCACGCUGGUGUGUAGGUGAAGUCCCUGCGGAUGGAGCUGAGACCAGUCGAAGAUACCAGCUGGCUGCAACUGUUUAUUAAAAACACAGCACUGUGCAAACACGAAAGUGGACGUAUACGGUGUGACGCCUGCCCGGUGCCGGAAGGUUAAUUGAUGGGGUUAUCCGUAAGGAGAAGCUCUUGAUCGAAGCCCCGGUAAACGGCGGCCGUAACUAUAACGGUCCUAAGGUAGCGAAAUUCCUUGUCGGGUAAGUUCCGACCUGCACGAAUGGCGUAAUGAUGGCCAGGCUGUCUCCACCCGAGACUCAGUGAAAUUGAACUCGCUGUGAAGAUGCAGUGUACCCGCGGCAAGACGGAAAGACCCCGUGAACCUUUACUAUAGCUUGACACUGAACAUUGAGCCUUGAUGUGUAGGAUAGGUGGGAGGCUUUGAAGCGUGGACGCCAGUCUGCGUGGAGCCAACCUUGAAAUACCACCCUUUAAUGUUUGAUGUUCUAACGUUGGCCCCUUAUCGGGGUUGCGGACAGUGUCUGGUGGGUAGUUUGACUGGGGCGGUCUCCUCCCAAAGCGUAACGGAGGAGCACGAAGGUUAGCUAAUCCUGGUCGGACAUCAGGAGGUUAGUGCAAUGGCAUAAGCUAGCUUGACUGCGAGCGUGACGGCGCGAGCAGGUGCGAAAGCAGGUCAUAGUGAUCCGGUGGUUCUGAAUGGAAGGGCCAUCGCUCAACGGAUAAAAGGUACUCCGGGGAUAACAGGCUGAUACCGCCCAAGAGUUCAUAUCGACGGCGGUGUUUGGCACCUCGAUGUCGGCUCAUCACAUCCUGGGGCUGAAGUAGGUCCCAAGGGUAUGGCUGUUCGCCAUUUAAAGUGGUACGCGAGCUGGGUUUAGAACGUCGUGAGACAGUUCGGUCCCUAUCUGCCGUGGGCGCUGGAGAAUUGAGGGGGGCUGCUCCUAGUACGAGAGGACCGGAGUGGACGCAUCACUGGUGUUCGGGUUGUCAUGCCAAUGGCACUGCCCGGUAGCUAAAUGCGGAAGAGAUAAGUGCUGAAAGCAUCUAAGCACGAAACUUGCCCCGAGAUGAGUUCUCCCUGAGACUUUAAGUCUCCUGAAGGAACGUUGAAGACGACGACGUUGAUAGGCCGGGUGUGUAAGCGCAGCGAUGCGUUGAGCUAACCGGUACUAAUGAACCGUGAGGCUUAACCUU